rnacentral:tRNA from 1 species
GGGAAUGUGGCUCAGUGGUAGAGUGCUUGCCUAGCAUGCAUGAAGCCCUGGGUUUGAUUCCUUGGUACCA